rnacentral:lncRNA from 1 species
ACUUCCAACAGGGGUCUAUUCGUCAGUCAAAACGUUAAUCUUGAAGGAGCAAAGGUUUGUUCAUGAGCUGUCAUGCUCGCUAGGCGAAGCCCACGUGUUUUGAAAAAAAAGAAAAAACGAAAAAAAAAAAGGAAAACGAAGAAUAAAUAAAUAAAUAAAUAAAUAAAUAAAUAAAUAAAUGAAUAAAUAAAUAAAUAAAUAAAUAAAAUCUUGGACUUGGACCUCUCUCAUUUGAGCCCACAGGUCCACAAAAAUCAGGUUAUAAAUUCAGAGUUUCAGUAAAACAAAAUUUCAUUCUAUUCCUAUUACCCUGGCUGGAGGAAAAAGAUAGUGAGAGAAGAGCUAACAGAGUUCAAAGCAACCUCCAGAGACUGAAGGGAAC